UUGAGAGUGGAUGAACAUGUAAAGGAGCCCUUUGAAGUGAAUGUUUGACAAACAUCAUGGCUGGUGGUUUAUGCCACAGUAGAAGGUAAUACAUUUUAAAAGUUAAAUAACAAAUCUUUAGUACUAGGACAACAGAGAUCCUAAUGAAUUAAUAGAGAUUCUAUAUGUAAUGAAUGAAUAGGGAUUCUAUAUGGAAUUCUGUGAUCAUGUGAACAUAGGAGGUCCCAUACUGGGAAGAAAUGACAUCUACUUUCACCCAUGUGUGUGUGACUGUGAUAGUGAAUUCUUGCAUCUCGCUCAUCUCAGUAACUGCAGUGCUGCUCGUGGCAACGUCAUUUAGCUGAGUUUACCUUUAAGGUGACAUUGUUGGAAGUGUACAGGCCUUGGCAGAGCACCCUAAGCUGGGACUGUAAAUGGACCGUAAACCUGUUGGACUGUCAUGACCACUGGAAGCAUGUACUGAGGACCUGAAACGUACAACUGUCACUUCACUGCAGUACAUUUACGUAAGGAAAACCUCCCGGACCCCUCCCUACAUCUUCCUGUUCUUACUGUAAACUGUGAGUGCUCACAACUGCACUGACAAACCACCUGAGGAGGAAUUGAAUUUCUGUGACAUUCUGUUCUCUGAGAGAGGUUCUGUUCAAAGAAUUAGAAUGGAUGACUAAUCCUGAAUUCUAUGGUUCUGCUUUGGUCUGUCUCACACUAUGUGGGAGACUAAUGCAUUGGGUGUUGUCUGUCUCACACUAUGUGGGAGACUAAUGCAUUGGGUGUUGUCUGUCUCACACUAUGUUGGAGACUAAUGCAUUGGGUGUUGUCUGUCUCACACUAUGUGGGAGACUAAUGCAUUNGGUGUUGUCUGUCUCACACUAUGUGGGAGACUAAUGCAUUAGGUGUUGUCUGUCUCACACUAUGUGGGAGACUAAUGCAUUAGGUGGUGCAUUCAAAGAGAAGUCUAUGGUGUUAUUCUAUAACUAGCACAUGAUUUGCAAUGUUCAAAUUAGAUUUUUCUAUUGCCUGUCUAUUUUGUUGAAUCGUGUAACUCUUCUGAAAGUGAUGGUUUCUGAAAUAUGUAUACUGAUGUUAUUGAGAGAUGAAGAGUUCUAACUUCUAUGCCGUUACUACCACAAUAUUUAGUCACACUUUACAUUAAGUUAAACUGCCAUGUGUGGUAUUACAUAAUAACUAAGUCAUUAUUUCAAAUAGAAUCUAUUCAGUUUCCUUUUGCAGUAUUACAAUUCAAAAUCAUUGGGUUAUGCACCUUACCAGCAGUUACCAUGCACAAUAUARCAUGAAUCUACAUGAUAUAACUUCAUGUAAAGUGUUGACCAAUUGUCUUGACCACUAGAUGAUACAACAGAGAUGUAUUGUUCUACCUACUACAAGGACGGCAACUCUGAAACUUUUACUUGCAUCUUUGCACAGAAGUAAGUUGACACUAUGGAUMAACUCAAAGGCAAAUAUCACAUACGUACAUACAAAGCACUGUAAAAGCACACAAACMGCUAUUGAAAUGGCAUUUUAAGACGUCACAUACUGUAUAUAGAAAGCAGCACUUCACACACACUGACCUUUUGAACAGGAAACAUGGAUWUUUKACCUUUUAAAGCAGAUUCCAUGAUAUGAUUUACAACCAUAUUGAUCGGUUAUAGUUGGUGUUAUUGACAUUUAUUCAACUUCCGUGUCUUUCCUUAUUUUCCUAUGUCUCCAUGGCUACCGAGUUCUAUUUAUAGGUGAAUGGCCGGUCCCGUCUGCUCCACUUCUUGUGGGGGGGGUACCUUGAACCCUGACCACCAGGACUCUGACCUCUGACAUCUGUGUUAGUCUUUUUUUUAUGCAUCCCACACAACAACAACAUAGCCAGAUGGAUUACUUGAUGACUUCCUGGUUGGUUGCUUUAUUAGAUUCCAGAAUAAAAUUCUGAUAUUGCAGGUCAAGGUAUGUUGGGAUGUAGGUUAGUGGAAUCGGGUUGUUACUAGCUGUGCUCUAUUAUUUGUUCCUACAGAUACCACUGUAUACGUUCCCAUCCUUCUCUGUUGUAUCACAAAAAAUAAUCAUUUCACUACUGUUUGUGGCAGAAAGCACUUCCAUGUGAAAAAGAAUGGCACUAUAGAGCAAAUAAAACACAUUGAUUGAUAUGA